ensembl:misc_RNA Metazoa_SRP Metazoan signal recognition particle RNA
GCCAGGUGCAGUGGCAUGUGCCUGUAGUCCCAGGUACUUGGGAGGCUGAGGUAGAAGGACUGCUUGAGUCCAAGAGUUCUAGGCUGCAGUGAGCUAUGAUCACACUGCACUCCAGCAUGGACAACAAAGUGAGACCCCACCUCUU